GACGAACGCUGGCGGCGUGCUUAACACAUGCAAGUCGAACGGAAAGGCCCUGCUUUUGUGGGGUGCUCGAGUGGCGAACGGGUGAGUAACACGUGAGUAACCUGCCCUUGACUUUGGGAUAACUUCAGGAAACUGGGGCUACUACCGGAUAGGAGCUCCUGCUGCAUGGUGGGGGUUGGAAAGUUUCGGCGGGUGGGGAUAGACUCGCGGCUUAUCAGCUUGUUGGUGGGGUAGUGGCUUACCAAGGCUUUGACGGGUAGCCGGCCUGAGAGGGUGACCGGCCACAUUGGGACUGAGAGACGGCCCAGACUCCUACGGGAGGCAGCAGUGGGGAAUAUUGCACAAUGGGCGGAAGCCUGAUGCAGCAACGCCGCGUGCGGGAUGACGGCCUUCGGGUUGUAAACCGCUUUCGCCUGUGACGAAGCGUGAGUGACGGUAAUGGGUAAAGAAGCACCGGCUAACUACGUG
rnacentral:rRNA from 1 species